rnacentral:rRNA from 1 species
GACGAACCGUGCGAACGUUGUUCGGAAUCACUGGGCUUAAAGGGUGCGUAGGCGGGCUGCCAAGUCAGGGGUGAAAUCGUUCGGCCCAACCGGACAAGGGCCCCUGAUACUGGUGGCCUCGAGGGAGGUAGGGGUCGAUGGAACUUCCGGUGGAGCGGUGAAAUGCGUAGAUAUCGAGAGGAACACCUGCGGCGAAGGCGGGUUGCUGGGCCGACACUGACGCUGAUGCGGCGAAAGCCAGGGGAGCGAACGGG